rnacentral:rRNA from 1 species
UAGCAUAUCAAUAAGCGGAGGAAAGGAAACUGACAAGGAUUCCCCUAGUAACGGCGAGUGAAGCGGGAAGAGCACAAAUUUUAAAUCUACCUGGUUUUCAGGUCGAGUUGUAAUUUGAAGAUACGUUUUUGACGUUCCGGGUUGGACUAAAUCCUUUGGGAUAAGGUAUCAUAGAGGGGUGAGAAUCCUGUGUAUACCAACCACAGGGAUGUUAUUUAAUAACGUUUCUAAGAGUCGAGUUGUUUGGGAAUGCAGCUCUAAAUGGGUGGUAAAUUUCACCUAAUGCUAAAUAUAAGCGAGAGACCAAUUGCGAACAAGUACAGUGAUGGAAAGAUGAAAAGAACUUUGAAAAGAGAGUUAAAUAGUACGUGAAAUUGUAAAGGGAAACGAUGAAGUCAGUCAUGUCAGUGGGAAUCAACUUAGGGAAAACUCUAAGUGCACUUCUUCGCUGCAGGUCAACGUCGAUUUUGGAUGUCAUAAAAUGAUUGGGGGAAGGUAGCUCCUUAGGGAGUGUUAUAGCCCUUGGUAGAUGUGAUGUCUGGGAUCGAGGAUUGCAAUGGAUACCCUUUGAGGCUAGCUGCCUGAUCUCUAAUUGGUAUUGGGUUACGGAUAGCAUGCUGACCGUGAUCUAAUUAUUGGUUAAAAGGUUAGAGCGCGCAUAAAUUCAUUAAGGACGUUGACGUAAUGGCUUUAAACGACCCGUCUUGAAACACGGACCAAUCACGAA